rnacentral:rRNA from 1 species
UGGUGGAGCGAUUUGUCUGGUUAAUUCCGAUAACGAACGAGACUCUAGCCUGCUAAAUAGUUGGUCGACGCCUCCGGCGUCGGCGCACUCAAACGAACUUCUUAGAGGGACCAGCGGCGUUUAGUCGCGCGAGAUUGAGCAAUAACA